UACGGGAGGCAGCAGUGGGGAAUAUUGCACAAUGGGCGAAAGCCUGAUGCAGCUAUGCCGCGUGUAUGAAGAAGGCCUUAGGGUUGUAAAGUACUUUCAUCGGGGAGGAAAAAACAAAACUAAUAAUUUUAUUUCUUGACGUUACCCGAAAAAGAAGCACCGGCUAACUCCGUGCCAGCAGCCGCGGUAAUACGGAGGGUGCUAGCGUUAAUCAGAAUUACUGGGCGUAAAGAGCACGUAGGUGGUUUUUUUAAGUCAGAUGUGAAAUCCCUGGGCUUAACCUGGAACUGCAUUUUGAAACUGAAAUACUAGAGUAUCGUAGAGGGAGGUAGAAUUCUAGGUGUAGCGGUGAAAUGCGUAGAUAUCUGGGAGACUACUGUGGACGAAGCGCCUACUAACGAUACUGACACUGAGUGCGAAAGCGUGGGAGCAAACGAGGAUUAGACU
rnacentral:rRNA from 1 species